AUUCUCACUUUGGCAACACAUAUAUUAAAUUGGAAUUAUACAGAGAAGAUUAGCAUGGCCCCUAUGCAAGGAUGACAUGCAAAUUCAUGAAGUGUUCCAUAUUUAA
ensembl:snRNA U6 U6 spliceosomal RNA